GAUGAACGCUGGCGGCGUGCUUAACACAUGCAAGUCGAGCGAGAAAAGUUCUUCGGAGCUUUUCUAGCGGCGGACGGGUGAGUAACACGUGGGCAACCUGCCUCAUAGAGGGGAAUAGCCUUCCGAAAGGAGAUUAAUACCGCAUAAUAUUGUUGAAAGGCAUCUUUUAACAAUCAAAGGAGCAAUCCGCUAUGAGAUGGGCCCCGCGGCGCAUUAGCUAGUUGGUGAGGUAACGGCUCACCAAGGCGACGAUGCGUAGCCGACCUGAGAGGGUGAUCGGCCACAUUGGAACUGAGACACGGUCCAGACUCCUACGGGAGGCAGCAGUGGGGAAUAUUGCACAAUGGGGGAAACCCUGAUGCAGCAACGCCGCGUGAGUGAUGAAGGUCUUCGGAUUGUAAAGCUCUGUCUUUAGGGACGAUAAUGACGGUACCUAAGGAGAAGCCACGGGCUAACUACGUGCCAGCAGCC
rnacentral:rRNA from 1 species